rnacentral:misc_RNA from 1 species
ACAGAAUUUUAGAAAAAUAAUAUUAAUGAAAAGAUUCUUUUGUUUCCACUGACUAAGUAUAAGAAAAAUGAAAUCCAAAGAACUCCACGAAACUUCUAAUAAGGAGUAAUAAGAAUAAGAAAAGGAUCAAUAAACAUAUUCAGCUAGAAUAGCAAAAAUGUGUCUAGACAAAAAAAAAUAUAGAAUACAUAUAGAAUUUCAAAUAAUAUACUGCUUUAAGAAAAAAAGUAAAAUAAUU